GCACAGGCCCGCCCCCUGGCUCCAGGCCACGCUGGACAGCAUAAAACGGGCUGGCCUCAGCUCUUGGCCACACGCAUCGUCCUGACAUCAUGACGCCCAGCAGCUUCUUGGUCCUGGCGGUGUUCCUUAUCCUUGGGACUCUGGCAGCACAGGCGGCUGUCAUAGGUGAGUAGACAAGUGGCCUGGGUGAGGCUGGAUUGGGCCCUGGCAGGGAGCACUCUGGGGCAGCAGGCAGGCUGGAUCGCAUGCUUUGGUCUGUGGCUGCUUCCGCUGUAUCCAGAGAGAGCAGAAGUUGUCCAGUAGAAUCAUGUGCUUUCCAUGCUAAGACUGAGCUAUCAGGACCAUUGCCGGACAAAGCGUGGCCAUGUGGCGUUGGCCUCAGGGGUUGAUAGCUGGGCAGAAUGUGCAAUGAAGUGGGGAACCCCAGGAAUCUGGGCCUGGGUGUGGGGUUUGCCUGUCUGCCCCAGAAAGCACCUGAGUAAUCAGCCUCUAAAAGGAGGUUGCACACCAACAAGACCUCAGAAAUCCUGUCGUUUGAAGACCCCCAUUUUACCAAGGAGGACAUUGUCCAGACAACCUCCAGAGCCAGGAGGGAGCUCAGGGCUCCUGGUGUAUGUCUCAGGGCUCUUUCCCCACCCCCCAAGUUGCCUCAGAGAUGACAAUGUGUCCUUCUCACCUCUGGAAGUCACCCCUGUCUGGCCUCUCCUCCUGAGAGGACUUGUCAUGGAGGGCGGGGGGAGAAAUGGAUACCCAAGGGAACCGUGGUCCUGUAGACCCUCUCCCCAAAGCCCAGAGCACAGCUUUCCUAGGGCACAGACCCCAGCUAGCCCAGAUGACCCUGCCCCAUCUCCGGCCAUGGUUUGGGAAACACGGCAGAGAGCAGUGGUUGGACGAAGAGGAAAGACUAGAUGGUGAAGCAGGCGCCCUGGGUCGAAAUGUGGCUACAUUUCUUCUUUCAACCGUUCCUCCUAAAGGGCAAGGCACAGACAAAGGUCGUGUUCUGGUCAAAGGACAAGAUCCGGUUAGAGGUCAAGAUCCAGUCAAAACCAAAGAUCUGCUCAAAGUUCCAGUGUCCACUAAGCCUGGCUCCUGCCCCAACAUUCUGAUGCGGUGCGCCAUGAUGAACCCCCCUAACCGCUGUUUGAGGGAUACCGAGUGCCCCGGGGCCAAGAAGUGCUGUCAGGGCCCUUGUGGGCUGGCCUGCUUGGAUCCCCAGUGAGGUGAGAACCUGGUGGAGCAGGAGGAGACCCCGAGGGCACAGAGAAGGCUGAGCAAUGGGAAUGAGCCUGGGUGGGUGAGAGGGAGGCUGUGGAGAGGGGCUGGGGGGGCGGAGGCGCGUUGAGCCUGUAACUGACGACCUGAGAGGGCCGUCACGUGGACGGGAUCCUGCCCUCCACUGCCUCUGAGUGCUUUGACCUGCCGAAUCACUUCUCUGGUCCUCUUCUCUCCCGGCCAGGUGGGGCGUGUCCUUGCUGCCCCUGUGAAGUCCCCAGGGCUGCUGGCCCCCGCCCUGUCGCACCACCCUCUCCGGCCAGCGCAUCCUCCCUCUCAUUCAGGAUGCCCAAGCCCGGACUUGGCUGCUUCUCUUGUUGACUUUGCAAUAAAAGACCACUUUCUGCUCCAU
rnacentral:lncRNA from 1 species